UUUUUUUUUUUUUUUUUGUCAUUCUUUUGCAAACAUGCUUCGUUAACUUCCCAAAUUUUGAAAACUAAAAAAAAGUAACAUGUGUGACUUUCUUAGUUUGUAUUACUGAUUUACUCUUCUUUUCUUCAUUUAUUUCCGUUUCGUUUACGAUUUAGCAUGACAUUGUUGAACUGUGUUGGAAAGAAUUAUUAUCUAAACUAGUGGAAACUGGCAUGACUUCUUCUUGGUUACGGUCAUCAUUUUUAUUCUAUAACAGACUAGUUAUAUGGUCUGCAUAUUGCAUAUAAUUUUGUAAAGCUUGGAGCCUUCAUUAUUCUUUUCCUUCAACAGGUAGUUUAAUUAAAAUGGAUCAAGCUUAUCCGGUCCAAAUGUUUCAAUUGUAGUUUGGCCUUAUUAUCGUUAGCAGACAUUUCUGUUGUCAAUGCUUGAGCUUCUAGUUCUAAGUCAAAGCCGCAUUGGUAGGCUCAAACUUAGUGUUUUAACAUGCCACCCUAAUCUAUUGGAAACUAUAUUUGUUAUAUAUAUAUAUAUUCACAAUGCUUCAAGUCUGGCGUUGAGCCAACAUCGACUCAACUUUUCUGGUGCACUUGAAUGAAUAGCUUAAAAGAGAUAGGAUUGGAGAAUGACUAGGAGGAGUUUUCCUAACCUAGAACUGUUGUCUGCAACUUCUCCCUCUUAUUUUUGGUUAAUAAUUUGUUCUUAAAUUGGGUUUUCUAUUUGCACUAUUAUUAACCGUAUAUGGAAGCUUUCUUGCUUAGCGCUGGAACAAAAGGUACAAGUUAGAGUGGUAACAUCUUUUGAAUUUUAUUUUUGUAGGUUUCUUAAAUUAAAUAUUUCUCUAAUAUUAAAAAAUAAAUGAAGUUUUUUGCUCUGCAUCUUCUCGUUUAUUUCUAAAGGAAAAAGAUAUAGCUUGUCGAACUCGAGGAUAAUGAUCUGUCAGCCUCUCGGUGGUGCUUAGGGUGCACACAUUGACAUUGAUAUUCAGGUGAAAUUAACGUUCGAUGAGCUCGAGUCUAGGGUCAACAUUGUGAAUUUGGUAAAUUUCGACGUACCUGACAAGGACAGAUAUGAGAAUGCAACUGUGGUGGAGAAUACGAAGAUGGGCUGGCUGGAUAUUAUAUUCCACAAGAUGAGAGUAGUUUUUGCCUUUGGAAUAUGAUGGGGUACUUAUUGUCUUACAAUAGAGUCUAGUCCUUUGGCUUCUUAAGAUGCUUCUCAUUUGCAUAUCAUCUUCACAAAUGAUAAUGAUUUGAAAUACUUCAAUUUACAUUGUCAGAUGAUGUAGUUCUCCUAGUUUGUAUUGCCUUCCAUCCAUAUUUCAGAAUCAAAAUUUGUUGUUGGAUUCUCCCCUUUUCACAUAUAAUGAGAUACAAUUGUCACAUUUUUUAUCUAUAAGAAUACCUAGACGUGCACGUGUUAAAAUA